UAAAAAAUUUGGCGGUAUUUUAGUCUAUUCAGAGGAACCUGUUCUAUAAUUGAUAAUCCACGAUGGACCUUACUUAAAUUUGUAUACAGUUUAUAUACCGUCGUUAUUAGAAUAUUUUUUAAGAAUGUUAAUUUUCAUAAUUUUAAAAAAGAAAAUAUAUCAGAUCAAGGUGUAGCUUAUAUUUAAGUAGAAAUGGGUUACAAUAAAUUUAUUUAUAUGGAUAUAAUUAUGAAAUUCAUUAUUGAAAGUGGAUUUGAUAGUAAAAUUAUAAAGAUUAAUAAUUUGAUUUUAGCUCUAAAAUAUGUACAUAUCGCCCGUCACUCUUAUUAUUAAGAUAAGAUAAGUCGUAACAUAGUAGGUGUACCGGAAGGUGUAUCUAGAAUGCAAUUUAAAGCUUAUUUAGUAAAGUAUUUCAUUUACAUUGAAAAGAUUUUUGUGCAAAUCAAUAUAAAUUGAUUAAAUUUUAUUUAUUAAUAAUUUAAUUUUUUAAAAUAUUUUAUUAAAAAUAAUUAUAAAAUGAUUUUGUUUUAGUAUUUUAUAAAUAAAAAAUAAAUUUAAUUAUAGUUAAUUAGUAUUGUGAAAGAAAAUUGAAAUAAUGUGAAAAAUUUUUAUAAUAAAAGAAAUU
rnacentral:rRNA from 1 species